GCAGUUACGUGGUUGGACUGCAGCUAUCAUCCAAUGCAAUGGUACUAUUUCAGAUGGUAAGCAUGAACUGGAGAAUGGAGAUGCCAACGAAAAACAUAACGGCACAGAUCUCAUUCAAUGCGAUAACGCUAAGUUAGACAGUAAGCAUGAACUGGACAAUGGAGAAGCCAAACAAAAACACAAUGGCGCAGAUCUCAUUCAAUGCGAUAACGCUAAGUUAGAUAGCAAGCAUGAACUGGAGAAUGGAGAAGCGAAAGAAAACUUUGGCGCAGAUCCAGUAGUUUCAGCAAUGAAGAACCAAAGCCAAGAGACAAGAACUGCAGGUGAAAUAAAAACAAAUGAGAGGGAAGUGUAGGUUGUGGUGGCAAC
rnacentral:lncRNA from 1 species